AUAGUACUCCCUCCGUUCGAAAAUACUUGUCAUCAAAAAGAAUAAAGAAGAUGUAUCUAGAUGUAUUUUAGUUCGAGAUACAUCUCUUCUUAUCUAUUUUGAUGACAAGUAUUUUCGGACAGAGGAAGUACAAG
rfam:Triticum aestivum genome assembly, contig: Triticum_aestivum_CS42_TGACv1_scaffold_577433_7BL